rnacentral:rRNA from 1 species
AAAGUAGCUUGCUACUUUGCUGACGAGCGGCGGACGGGUGAGUAAUGCUUGGGAACAUGCCUUGAGGUGGGGGACAACAGUUGGAAACGACUGCUAAUACCGCAUAAUGUCUACGGACCAAAGGGGGCCUCGGCUCUCGCCUUUAGAUUGGCCCAAGUGGGAUUAGCUAGUUGGUGAGGUAAUGGCUCACCAAGGCAACGAUCCCUAGCUGGUUUGAGAGGAUGAUCAGCCACACUGGAACUGAGACACGGUCCAGACUCCUACGGGAGGCAGCAGUGGGGAAUAUUGCACAAUGGGCGAAAGCCUGAUGCAGCCAUGCCGCGUGUGUGAAGAAGGCCUUCGGGUUGUAAAGCACUUUCAGUCAGGAGGAAAGGGUGUGAGUUAAUACCUCACAUCUGUGACGUUACUGACAGAAGAAGCACCGGCUAACUCCGUGCCGGCAGCCGCGGUAAUACGGAGGGUGCGAGCGUUAAUCGGAAUUACUGAGCGUAAAGCGUACGCAGGCGGUUUGUUAAGCGAGAUGUGAAAGCCCCGGGCUCAACCUGGGAACUGCAUUUCGAACUGGCAAACUAGAGUGUGAUAGAGGGUGGUAGAAUUUCAGGCGUAGCGGUGAAAUGCGUAGAGAUCUGAAGGAAUACCGAUGGCGAAGGCAGCCACCUGGGUC